CCUACGGGAGGCAGCAGUGGGGAAUCUUGCGCAAUGGGCGAAAGCCUGACGCAGCAACGCCGCGUGCGGGAAGAAGGCUUUCGGGCUGUAAACCGCUUUCAGCAGGAACGAAAAUGACGGUACCUGCAGAAGAAGGAGCGGCCAACUAUGUGCCAGCAGCCGCGGUGAUACAUAGGCUUCAAGCGUUGUCCGGAUUUAUUGGGCGUAAAGAGUUCGUAGGCGGUCGAGUAAGUCGGGUGUGAAAAUUCUGGGCUCAACCCAGAGACGCCACCCGAUACUGCUUAACUUGAGUUCGAUAGGGGAGUGGGGAAUUCCUAGUGUAGCGGUGAAAUGCGCAGAUAUUAGGAGGAACACCGGUGGCGAAGGCGCCACUCUGGAUCGAUACUGACGCUGAGGAACGAAAGCAUGGGUAGCAAACAGGAUUAGAUACCCUGGUAGUCCAUGCCGUAAACGGUGGGCACUAGGUGUGGGAUUCUAUUAACGAAUUCCGCGCCGUCGCUAACGCAUUAAGUGCCCCGCCUGGGGAGUACGGUCGCAAGCUAAAACUCAAAGGAAUUGACGG
rnacentral:rRNA from 1 species